UACAGAGGUGGCAAGCGUUGUUCGGAAUUACUGGGCGUAAAGGGCGCGUAGGCGGUCUUGUCAGUCCCUUGUGAAAUCCCCCGGCUCAACUGGGGAACUGCACGGGAAACAGCAGGGCUUGAGUUCGGGAGAGGGAAGCGGAAUUCCGGGUGUAGCGGUGAAAUGCGUAGAUAUCCGGAGGAACACCGGUGGCGAAGGCGGUUCUCUGGGCCUGUACUGACGCUGAGGAGCGAAAGCGUGGGGAGCGAACAGG
rnacentral:rRNA from 1 species